GCCGAGAGUAGUGAUGUACUCCUGUAAUCCAACUACUUGGAGGAUAGGUAUAGAGGAUGUUUAAGGGGGCGAAGAUAUUCUGGGAUUGGAUUUUCCACGUUGAUUAGGCGUCCGCUAGGGGUUGAGCUUCUGCUUGGAUGCCUUGGGAGAGCCCCGAGGUAGCCAGGUUGAGUCCGAAAAGAGGGGAAAAAUUAGCCCAAAAGUCUCACCGAGUUGAGAGUCGUGGACCCAAAUCCUGGGAGUUGUUCGAUUUUGGCUCGUAUAAACAAGAACAGACCUGUAUCUUU
rnacentral:SRP_RNA from 1 species